rnacentral:rRNA from 1 species
UACGUAGGGUGCGAGCGUUAAUCGGAAUUACUGGGCGUAAAGCGUGCGCAGGCGGUUCGUUGUGUCUGAUGUGAAAGCCCCGGGCUUAACCUGGGAAUGGCAUUGGAAACUGGCGAGCUGGAGUGUGGCAGAGGGGAGUGGAAUUCCGCGUGUAGCAGUGAAAUGCGUAGAGAUGCGGAGGAACACCGAUGGCGAAGGCAGCCCCCUGGGCCGACACUGACGCUCAGGCACGAAAGCGUGGGGAGCAAACAGG